rnacentral:rRNA from 1 species
GUAGGGAAUCUUGCGCAAUGAGGGAAACCUUGACGCAGCGACGCCGCGUGCGGGAUGAAGGCCUUCGGGUUGUAAACCGCUUUCAGCAGGGACGAAAUUGACGGUACCUGCAGAAGAAGGCCCGGCCAACUACGUGCCAGCAGCCGCGGUAAUACGUAGGGGCCUAGCGUUGUCCGGAUUUAUUGGGCGUAAAGAGCUCGUAGGCGGUUCGGUAAGUCAGGUGUGAAAUCUCCACGCUCAACGUGGAGGCGCCACCUGAAACUGCCGUGACUCGAGUCCGGUAGGGGAGUGUGGAAUUCCUGGUGUAGCGGUGAAAUGCGCAGAUAUCAGGAGGAACACCAGUGGCGAAGGCGGCACUCUGGGCCGGUACUGACGCUGAGGAGCGAAAGCGUGGGGAGCGAACAGGAUUAGAAACCCUAGUAGUCC